rnacentral:rRNA from 1 species
UGGGGAAUCUUAGACAAUGGGGGCAACCCUGAUCUAGCCAUGCCGCGUGAGUGACGAAGGCCCUAGGGUCGUAAAGCUCUUUCGCCAGGGAUGAUAAUGACAGUACCUGGUAAAGAAACCCCGGCUAACUCC